UACGGGAGUGGCAAGCGUUAUCCGGAAUUAUUGGGCGUAAAGCGCCUGUAGGUGGUUUAAUAAGUCUGUUGUUAAAGACUAGGGCUUAACCCUAGAAAAGCAAUGGAAACUACUAGACUAGAGUAUGGCAGGGGUAGAGGGAAUUUCUAGUGUAGCGGUGAAAUGCGUAGAUAUUAGAAAGAACACCAGCGGCGAAAGCGCUCUACUGGACCAUUACUGACACUCAGAGGCGAAAGCUAGGGUAGCAAAAGGGAUUAGAUACCCCUGUAGUCCUAGCCGUAAACGAUGGAUACUAGAUGUUGUGUAUAUUUUACAGUAUCGUAGCUAACGCGUUAAGUAUCCCGCCUGGGGAGUACGCUCGCAAGGGUG
rnacentral:rRNA from 1 species